rnacentral:rRNA from 1 species
CAGCAGCCGCGGUAAUACAGAGGAUGCAAGCGUUAUCCGGAAUGAUUGGGCGUAAAGCGUCUGUAGGUGGCUUUUCAAGUCCGCCGUCAAAUCCCAGGGCCCAACCCUGGACAGGCGGUGGAAACUACCAAGCUGGAGUACGGUAGGGGCAGAGGGAAUUUCCGGUGGAGCGGUGAAACGCGUUGAGAUCGGAGAGAACACCAACGGCGAAAGCACUCUGCUGGGCCGACACUGACACUGAGAGACGAAAGCUAGGGGAGCAAAUGGGAUUAGAUACCCCAGUAGUCCCUGUCUCUUAUAC